UACGUAGGCAGCGAGCGUUGUUCGGAAUUACUGGGCGUAAAGAGUGUGUAGGCGGUGUUCCCAGUCUGUUGUGAAAUCUCCCGGCUUAACUGGGAGGGUGCAGCGGAAACUAGAAUGCUAGAGGGUGGGAGAGGUAAGCGGAAUUCCUGGUGUAGCGGUGAAAUGCGUAGAUAUCAGGAGGAACACCUGUGGUGUAGACAGCUUACUGGACCACUUCUGGCGCUGAGACACGAAAGCGUGGGUAGCAAACAGG
rnacentral:rRNA from 1 species